CAGAGAACCCGCCUCCAGGGCAGAGAAUUCCACAGACUCACCACUCUCUGUGAGAAAAAGUGUUUCCUCGUCUCCGUUCCAGUGAUGGAGCCAUCACUGUUCCUUUCAGUCCAGAGCUCAUUCCCUGUAGUGCCAUGGAAGUACCCUUACGAGGAUUGCAACAGUUCCGGGGAACAGCUCACUAGCCUGAACACAAGACACAGCCAGGUUAACCUUGAUAACCCAUCAUGCAAAGUACUUAUUCAGUAGAUAAUUACCAACAAAUAGGACCCACGAACAAAACACAAAAUGCUGGAGUAACUCAGCGAGUCAGGUAGCAUUUGUGGAGGGAAUGGAUUGGCAAACGGGAAAAGAGAGGUGGGGGCAGGACAAAGUUGAUGAAUUUGAAUUGCAGAUGAGAUUUAUGCUUAUGAAACAUGUAAGGAAUCAUUAGACGGCAUCUUUGAAUUCUUCCAAGUCAAAGCAUACAAGGAAGUUGCUGUAUUACCACCCAGUAGAGCACAAGGGAGGGGAAAGCUAAUCAACUAUAAAUUGUAAGUCACUAGCAGGUAGCAAAAGUAGCAAAGAAUCACCACAAAGUUAAUAACUGGAGGUCUUGAUAGAUACAUGGACAAUACUUUUCAGUAAAAUAAAACUUUAAUCCUCCAUGGAAAUUAUACGACACCAUGUUAAAAACUUAAACUAAGCACUUCUGUAAAAACCCUCAAAGGUAAAUUGAUAAACUAUGUGUAGUUUUAAACAGAAUUUAAUCUCGUAGACUAGUUUAGACCGAGUGAAAAAUCAUGUCCUCAGAUUUAAAGUUUAAAAGAGUAAAUUAAAAAAAAAAUUUAAAUGAAUAAGAGAACAAACUUGACUAAACACAUUUGUGUAUAGAAUAACAAUUGGGUCAAAUGUCCUACUUCUAUUCCACUGAUUCAUUAACUAAAUUGCUGUCCAAAUACUUCAGUUAGGCUUGGAAAACCAAAUUUGGAUAAGGAUUAAAAAAUAAGGAUUACAUGUGAUGGAGGUGAAUCAGCAUGGAAUUGUUAGGAAGGAAGAGUUAUAAAAGUUACAAUGACAUUCAGCGAUGUAUUCAUUUUCAUUCCAACAAAGGAGACUAGAAGUCAAAGGACAAUUCAGGUACCAGUUGAUUGGUAGUUGUUUAAAGAUGUGCUAACAAUUAUUUUAAAAUUGACCUGCUUACUGUGGAGUGCUAAUAAAUAGCUAUAGGUUUUAAAUAGACCAGGAUCAAGUAUACACACAGGCAAUGCGAUGAGAGAAAAACAAACCAUGAUGUUAAUCUCAAAACUGUUUUUAGUUUAGAUUUAUUUGGGUUUAAAAUUAACUCUGAUCCAUACCAAACACAGCCAGUCAAUGAAUUUGACUUCAGUUUUUUGUCUGUUCUAUCAACUUGACCUGAACCCAAGACAUAAUCUGAAGCAGGUCUGGUUAAGUGGCCAGUCUCAAUUCUUGGGAUUUAUGAAACAUUGGGGUCCCGGGAAGGAAUGAUAACAGCUGAGAAGGUUAUAAAUAAAAUUCAAGUGAAGAACCCAGUUCCUCAUGAUAUUAAAGCAUGAACUGGAGGGAACAAAAAAGACAAAGUGGAAACUUUAUGAAGUACAACAAAUCCCACUGAUAUUAAUUGAAAAAAAAUUACCUUUAAAGAUUGUUCCAAGAAAAUAGAUAGCUUGGAGAAAAGUGAACGAUUAAUGAAAAAAAUGAGGAAAUCCUCAUCUUUAAUGGUGCCAGGUUUCUUAGAGGGUAAAAUGUUCGGGUGUUGUGAAUGUCUUUCAGCCUCCAUCUAUAAUUUACUCUGACCUAAACAAAUUACAGGAAUUGUUUAAUACUAAAAUUAUCACAGACAUACCCUAUAGCUACAAGACGCCAGAAAGUUUGCUAAUAGUAUAGGAAAUUUUGACUGGUGUUAAACUGCCAUUUAGUGACAUGAUACCAUAUUUUCAAUAUUGUGUGAUAUUUCUAUGAAAUGUAUAUUAUUUUAUUUAACAUUUGACCAGUUCGUAUUUGUAUGCAUAACAAUCAAAUAUGUGUGUGAUGAGUCGAUGAACUGAUUUAGAAUAGUCAAGGUGUAAUCGAGUUAAAGAUAUUUUGCAACAUAUGCUGGAAGAAUGUUUCCUAGAAUGAGAAAAAAAGGCGAUUUCUAGCAAUUAUAGCAAAUCUUAUACUUAAAAGUAUUUUGAUUGAUAUUAGUACCAGAAAGAGGUAAUGCAAACUUGAUAGUGAUAGUUAACUAAUACAAUCAAGGAGAAUAAAAUCAAAUUCUUUGUCUCAGAAAAAAAUAAAUUGGGACAAUAAAAAAUAACUUGCAGAUUCCACUAAAGAUGGACAGAUUAGAUUGUCACUAAAUUAGAACUACCACUUCAAGAUUAAAGGUAUUAUUAUAUACCUUUAAUUAUUAUUAUAACUUUGAUUAUAAAAAGAUUUCACAUUGAACAAACAUUCAGCUUUGAUAAAAUAUUACAGUUAGAGUAUCAAUUUUAGGCUAAGCACAAGGAAGAAUUGAGUGUCACACAGCGGAACAGACAGAAGGUACAUUACAAACAAGCUUGAGAAGCACAAAUCAGAGUCUAAGGCAUUACACAGAAUGCUUUUACAUGGUUUUAACUACUAAAAUCCAUCCGAGAGCACAAAAUGGUUAUUACUCUGUACUGACAAAAGUUUGUAGCAUAUCAUUGUAAACUUGAAAAAUGAGAUUAAGAUUUGUGAUAGCUUGACAAAAUGUAUUAUCUUUGUAUUAAUGGAUGUGGCCAAAUAAAUAGUUAUGUGAUGUGCAA